AGAGUUUGAUCAUGGCUCAGGAUUAACGCUGGCGGUAUGCCUAACACAUGCAAGUCGAACGGAAUACUCGAAAAGAGAAUCUCACACUAGUGAGAGGUUCUCCAACCGAGUAUUUAGUGGCGGACGGGUGAGUAACACGUUGGAACCUGCCCCGAAGUGGGGAAUAACUGCUCGAAAGAGUAGCUAAUACCCCAUAGUAUCCGGUUUAUCCGGAUUAAAGAUUUAUCGCUUCGGGAGGGGCCUGCGUCUGAUUAGCUUGUUGGUGGGGUAAAAGCUCACCAAGGCGACGAUCAGUAGCUGGUUCGAGAGGAUGACCAGCCACACUGGGACUGAGAUACGGCCCAGACUCCUACGGGAGGCAGCAGUGAGGAAUCUUCCACAAUGGACGAAAGUCUGAUGGAGCAAUACCGCGUGCAGGACGACGCUUUUCGGAGUGUAAACUGCUUUUGUCGUCGAAGAUUAUGACUGUAGGCGAAGAAUAAGGACCGGCUAACUACGUG
rnacentral:rRNA from 1 species